rnacentral:tRNA from 1 species
GGAGAGGUGGCAGAGUCUGGUUUAUUGCGGUGUCCUCGAAAGUCACUGGGCGACCUUGGUCGCUCCGGGGGUUCAAAUCCCUCCCUCUUCGCCA